rnacentral:rRNA from 1 species
UACGAAGGGAUCUAGCGUUGUUCGGAAUCACUGGGCGUAAAGCGCACGUAGGCGGCUGUGUCAGUCAGGGGUGAAAUCCCGGAGCUCAACUUCGGAACUGCCUUUGAUACAGCACGUCUUGAGUCCGAUAGAGGUGGGUGGAAUUCCUAGUGUAGAGGUGAAAUUCGUAGAUAUUCGCAAGAACACCAGUGGCGAAGGCGGCUCACUGGCCCGGUACUGACGCUGAGGCACGAAAGCGUGGGGAGCAAACAGG